rnacentral:rRNA from 1 species
ACAGCAGUCGCCACGGUAAUACGGAGGGUGCAAGCGUUAUCCGGAUUUAUUGGGUUUAAAGGGUCCGUAGGCGGAUCUGUAAGUCAGUGGUGAAAUCUCACAGCUUAACUGUGAAACUGCCAUUGAUACUGCAGGUCUUGAGUAAAUUUGAAGUGGCUGGAAUAAGUAGUGUAGCGGUGAAAUGCAUAGAUAUUACUUAGAACACCAAUUGCGAAGGCAGGUCACUAAGAUUUAACUGACGCUGAUGGACGAAAGCGUGGGGAGCAAAUGGGAUUAGAUACCCCCGUAGUCCCUGUCUCUUAUAC